ACAGGGGCCACUGCCACCUGCUCUACCCGUUGUUCCGCAGGGGCCACUGCCACCUGCUCCGCCCGUUGUCCCGCAGGCGAAGCCACCUGCCUUGCCCAGUGUCCAUGCCUUGCCCUGUGUUCACGCCUUGCCUAGUGUUCCCUCGCCCCCUAGUGUCUGUGCUUCCCCUAGUGUUCCCGCACCCCCUAGUGUCUGUGCUCCCCCUAGUGUUCCCGCUCCCCCUAGCGUUCCCUCGCCCCCUAGUGUCCUCGCUCCCCCUAGUGUUCUCGCUCCCCCUCGUGUCUGUGCUCCCCCUAGUGUCCGUGCUCCCCCUAGUGUUCCUGCCUCGCCCGGUGUCUGCCCGCUUGCCUGUCUACCUGUUUGCCCGCGUGUUUGUCGGCCAGCAUGUUGGCCUGUUUAUCUGCCCCCCAGGCCGUUGGCCCGUCAGCCAAUCUGUUCUCCCGCCUGUCUGCCUGUCUGUCGGUGUGUCAGUCUGCGUGUUUUUUGUCCUGUCUGCCUGUUUGUCAGUUCGUGUGUCAGUCUUUGAGUUCACCCCUCUCCUUCCCUGUCUGUCUGUCCCUUAGUGUGUCUGUCGGUCUUGCCGUGUGCCUCCCCGCCUGCUUGUCCCUUUGUCUGUCCUUGUAGGUCUCCCAGUGUUGUUCCUGUGUUUGUGUCAGUCCGUUUCUUUGUCCGUCUCAGCCCAGUCCGGUGUUUCUGUCUCGUCCCAGUCCAGUCCGGUGUGUCUGCCUCAUCCCAGUCCAGUCCGGUGUUCUGUCUCGUCUCAGUCCAGUCCGGUGUUCUGUCUCGUCUUGUUCCAGUCUAGUUCCAUGUAGCGUUUUGAGUCCAGUCCAGUGUCUGUUGCUUUCAGGCUCUGUGUUCAGUUCGGUGUCUGAGUCCGUUUCGUUGUGUGUUGAGGCCAGUUCGGUGUUGUGUUUUUGAGUCCCCUUCCCCAUCUAAGUCCAGUCCGAGUCCCUUUCCCCGUCCGAGUCCAGUUCCCCGUCUGAGUCCAGUCCGAGUCCCGUUCCCCGUCUGAGUCCUGUCCGAGUCCUGUCUCCAGUGUGCUCCAGUCCCGGGUCCUGUUCCCUGUCCCGAGUCCUGUCUCCAGUGUCCUCCAGUCCCGAGUCCUGUCUCCAGUGUGCUCCAGUCCUGAGUCCUGUCUCCAGUGUGCUCCAGUCCCGAGUCCUGUCUCCAGUGUGCUCCAGUCCUGAGUCCUGUUCCCCGUCCCCCUGUCUCUUGUCUGCUCCAUUCCUGAGUUCUGUCCUGUCUCCAGCUCCCACCCUCUGUUUCACUCCCUCCCCAGGUCGGCCUUCUGGGACGUCAGGAGCCGUCCCUUGGGGGGGGGGGGGGGUACUGUCAUGUUCUGUGGUUUGUCUGUGUUUCCCUUUUUGGGCCGCCAGGUUUUUAGAUCUGUCCUUUCACCCCGUUUAAUUGUAUGUUAGUUGUCUCGUUUUCCCUUCCCUCUCUGUGGCCUGAUUGUUCAUUGUGCCCUCCUGUAUCUCGUCAGUGUCGUGUCUAUUUAAGUUCCCUUCUCCCUGACUCAGGUGCUGGUCCUUGUUUUUUGUGUGUGCGUUAUGGAUUAUCUUUCGGUUUGUGCUCCCUCGUGAACUUGUGACUCUGUGUUUUGCUCCCUGUGUUUUCUACCCUGCCCGUGCUCCGUUUUUGCCUCGUUCUUGGAUUUCUGGAUUUUCUUUGUUUUUGUGCUUUGCUAACUUCGCAUUGUCUUUUGAAUCUUGCCCUGCGCGGCUUUGUUUUUGUUAUUGUUUUUUGUACUCAUUAAAAGCAACAUUCUUUGUUUAGCGUUCACCCCGUGGAUUUUGAGUGUUCCGCUUUUGGGUCCAUUCCCUCGCCCCCCCCUAACAGGAGCGUUAUAAACCUACCUUAAAAUGAUCUUCUGAUCGCACUAAUAUGAUCUUCUGGUCGCUCUAACACUUAUCCCUGCUUAUAUUUGUCAAAGUUACUUGACUGCGAUAAUCUUGUGUUAGUUUGAAAAAACGGAAGUGCCAUUGAUUAACAUGGAAUCAAAUGGUCAGUUCUUGUUAUUCUUUUGCAGAUGAUUACAAGGAGGCCAGGUUAAAGCUACCAGAAGCUGUUGAACACACAGACCUUGGGACAGAUGUGGAGGAUUCUCCAAUUAAAGUAAAACGAAGAAGAACAGCAAAGAACAUCCUUUUGCCUGGUGAAGAUGAUGAUGAGAUCGAAGAUGCCUUGCCGAAAGCUAAGCCAAGGAGUAAGAAGUACCAGGAGCACUGCCUAUUGCACCAAAGAUCUUUCACUCAUUUGGUCCCGAUUCCCAAGGGAAUGAUUCCACUCAGACCACCAGACCUAGAGGACAUCUUUGUUCUCCAAAACACUAUAUUCCUAGAGGGAAUGCUACCAGUAUAAAUUCUACUGAAUCCAGAGGGCCCCACACUCCUGACCUGCACCAGAGAAGCCGUACAUCUCCUGACCUGCACCAGAGAAGCCGUACAUCUCCUGAACUUCACCAGAGAAGCCGUACAUCUCCUGACUUGCACCAGCGAAGCCGUACAUCUCCUGACCUGCACCAGAGAAGCCGUACAUCUCCUGACCUGCACCAGAGAAGCUGUACAUCUCCUGACCUGCACCAGAGAAGGAACAUUUCAGCUUAGCCACACAGACAGCUUAGGAGACCACAAACUGUUCUUAAUACUUCUCUCCUGCGUAAUCUUCUCACUAAUCAAGAGAUGAUGAUGGACCAAUUGAAAAUUAUCUUCAAAACUGUCCAGGGGCUAAAAUCCUUGAGAGAAGAAGAGAUGGGCCUUGAACCAGAUCUGCUGCCUGUGGCUGAUCUCCAUUCUCUUCAAAACCUGGAGCAGCGGCUGAGAAAUAGCCCCAACUUCAAAAAACAAAUGUCAUAUGCACUGGCACUGAAAGGUGGGGCAGACAUGAGAAAAAGUGUGUGGAGAAUAAUGAAGGCAACAAUGUCAAACACUGUGGCGAAGAGUGUCAAAUAAAUGGCAAGACUGGCUUUCGACACUUGCUGUUAAGGGAUGUUGUUAUUACUGCUGUGAGACGAAAUCGCCUAACAAGUAACGCCACCGACCAGGAGAUUGAGGUUAACAUACAGAGAUGGCUUCAACUCGCCCCUGACAGGGAUGGAGGAAGGAGAGAGCGGUUGAGGAGAAAGGAGAGCACAGAACAGCACAGCAGUUCUGCUGAAUCUUAAAGAGAGCGGCUAGAGCCUUUUCUGACUCCAGCGGUGAAACUUGAACAGUGAGAUUUUUUUUAGUUGCAACCAGCAGUUCUGUCGGUCGGUUGGUUGUUUGGUCCAUCCGUCCAAAGUACAAGUGUAUGGACAGUGCCUCCUGUAUAUGUUUCCUGAUGCAUUGUGUUGAGCUCUUGAAACUUAACUACACUCAUUUUGUGUAGGCCUGUGUUCUUUAUUAAAAGUGUUUCGCAUCAAUUUUACCUGUAUGUUUCAAUGUGCAUUUGAGGUCUUGAAAUGUGUUAUACAGAAAA